UAAUACUAAAGAAAUUUCUACUACUUAUAAACCAUUCGGAGGGUAUAAAUGUUUCAAGCAUUCUAAAAAGAAAUGAAAAAAAAAAAAAAACUCGAACAGUAUCUGGCCAAAAAAGAACUCGAACAGUAAAAGGAAAAGCCUUACGUGGAAGUUUGUGGCGGUAAGGAAGUAGAAGAGGAAGAAAUCUCUACGAUCUACUACUCUUCCCAGUACGGAAAACACCCGAGAGAUCGAUCUCCGUGUGCUUUCUCGUGAAAAAUUAACAGAAUCAAACUGUCUGGAGUCAAUGGGAGACGUCAGUGGAGGAUGCUGCCCUCCGAUGGAUCUAUUCCGUUCGGACCCGAUGCAAUUGGUCCAUUUCAUCAUCCCCAUGGAGUCGGCUCACCUCACCGUCUCUUGUCUCGGUGACCUCGGCCUCCUCCAAUUCAAAAACCUCAAUUCGGAGAAGAGUCCUUUUCAGCGAACUUAUGCUGCUCAGUUAUUUUCUUUUCUGCUCUUAUAGUGACAUUGAUAUAUUCACAUUUAACGCAUCUCGAGUUGCUUCUCAUCUUUCUUUUUCUUCUUCUACUUUAAAGAACUAUAGGCUUGGGAAUUAUAUGGUAGUAAAAUUUAAAUUCUUGAAUAGCUGGAAAAUAAAAUUUUCAGUGCCCGAGAAAUGUUGACGAUAAAUAAUUCUACAGCACUUAACCAAAAAGAGUUCAACUGAAUUUCCAGGAUCUCAAAAGAUUGAUGUUUAACCCUACUGCCUUUCUAUUGUAGUGGAAGUAACAUACUUCUCCAUAUGAGCUAUGUGAACCGAUUUAUGAUGCCAUGUCUUGUUGCCAUAAUAUGCUAUUGUUGUUUUCCAAAUUUUAGUUUUUAGUCCUUGUUUGUUGACAUCUCAUCUCAUGAAGAUUAAAAAUAUGGAGAGAUGGCAUGCAAGUUUUGUUGUUUCAAGGAGCAAAUGCUAAAAUCAGGCUUCUGUUCUAAAACCAAACCAGUGGCAUGAGCUGACAUUGAUGUGGAUGACUUAGAGGUGAAACUCGGAGGACUUGUGGCAGAGCUGAUUGAAAUGAAUGCAAAUGGUGAAAAAUUGCAGUGUAGUUAUACUAAGCCGGUUGAGUAUAAGCUUGUUUUGCAAAAUUCUUGCUCACUCAGUGUUGUCAGUUGUGUUCUAUGAGAAGGUUUAACAAUACAAUCAUUCUCAUUGUCGGCAUCAUUGUCUUUAUUUUUGCAACCGUUUGUGUGUUGCUAAUCAUGGAAACCCUUGGUGCUUUCCUACAUGCUUUGCAACUUCACUGGGUUGAAUUCCAGAAUAAAUUCUACGAAGGAGAUGGUUACAAGUACUAUCCAUUUUCAUUUGCAUCAAUAGAUAAUGAGGGUGAUUGAUGCACUGAAUUGAAGGUAAGAAGUUGUGUUGCUGUUUUCAUUUGAAGAUGAUGAGAAAUCAAUUUAGAUGCACCCUGUAGGGGGAGUAGAGGAAAGCUUUCUACAGCCUGAGCACUGCCUCUUUACCUUCUGGUUCGGUGGUUGUUAUUGGGAGAUUAAAGGAAGGUGAACUGAGGAUGUAAGAAGAAAACUUCACGAAAAAGGUAAAUUAAACUUGCUCUGAUAACAUUUCAGUUGU